rnacentral:lncRNA from 1 species
AUGGGGUGUCCCCGUACUGCACCUCCUUCCCUUUCCCCUUCUGUCUCCUGCCCCACUCCUCUAUGUCCACCCAUUCUGUAUACAGGCUCAGUGCUGGAAAUACUUUUACUUAAGCCCUAUUAUUGGCUUUCCUGCAGAACGGCUGCUUCUGAUACCAUCAGUGCUAGAGCAUACAGAGGUGAAGUUAGGGGCAGAGGUGGAAGUAACCAGGAGAAUAAAGAGGAAAAGUCUCUCAGCUGAGCGAAUGUGUACAGAAACCUCCCAUCCGUCUGCACAGAUCAGCAGAGCCUGCUCCAGCCAGACUCCCACCCAUUUCUGAAUGCUGAGGGAUGAGAGGCAGCAUGAGCAGCCAGCUGUGCUUACCAUUCUGCUGGCUUAGGCCCACCACACCAGAUAUGCCAUUUUGAAAUGCCUUCUAGCCCUGCUGGCAGGGAGAGGGUGGUGGCCUGAACUCAUACCAGCUGCCUGUAGGCACUGAUCUCUUUCUCUGUGUUAGGAGGAAUGAAGGAAGACAGACAGACAUCACUAGAAAGCCGUGCCAAUAUCAGCCUGGAAGACAUGUUCUCUGGCAGUGCCUUCUUCUCCACAAACGGACUGAAGUUAGGUAGGGCAUGCCUGAGAUGAUACGUGUGCAUUUUGUCCUCCGUGGUGGCAUUUUUUAAAAGAGUUUAAGCUCUAAUACUAGAAGUAAUGAGUUUUAAACAGCUUGUUUGCUAACUGCCAGGCAGCUCUUUCACUUAGCCCUGGCUUUGACCCUGUUACCAUCUGGUAAUUCCUCACGGAUGGAGACAGAGGCUGGUCACACCUUGCCAUCAGAAAACUUCCUCACAUCAUGGUCCUGUGGGAAGGGGAAUUACACCGCGUUGUGAUGAGACUGUGUAUAGGCAAUCCAUGUUCUUCAGGACCUCUUGCUAUAACCCUCAUCCUCCCACACUAAAAUACAUGGCACACCAUUCACAGACUUAGUGCUCAUAGCGUUGUAGGAAAGUAUAAGAUCAGUUAUGUGCUGGGGAACAGUAGUUUUAAAUCCGUGUGUUCUUGCUUUCAUUAGACAUUACUAUUUGUGUCUGGAUCUGCAAAGUAUAUGAUUUCAAAAGAAAGUAAGUUUUGUGUUUAAAAACCAUUUGGAUGUGGUGCUCAGGGACAUGAUUUAGCAGAGGGUUGUUACUUAGGGUAGUAUGGUCAGGUUGUGGUUGGACUUGAUGAUCUUUAAGGUCUUUUCCAACCUGAGCAAUUCUGUGAUUCUAUGAUUAUUUUUUUUAAGGAAAUAAAUGCUAUGUUGCUCUGUCA